CCGCCCCAGUUUUCCUAACUGCUGCAAAACACCGGGCGCGGGAGGGGUGGUCUGCGCGAAGAAGGGAAAUGACCUUCAAGGUCAGAAGCAAACCUUGGUUUCGACCCUCAGCUGGAAACUGCAUUGGAGUCGCUGUCGCUAGUGCCUUACAAGGCUAAUUAUCAGUUGGGCUGCUUUUGGCUGCAAAUAACAGAAGACUUAAAAUGGCUUAAACAAUAAGGUUUUUUAUUGUUUCACAUAACAAGAAGCCUCCAAGUAUUACCGUGUCAUCAAAUAUCCAGGCUUUUGGUUGCUACAGCUGUAGGCAUCAUGUCUGCACGAAACCAUGUUCAAAUGGGGGAAGACACGGCUGACUUUCUCAAUCUCUGGAUCUCUGCGUGGCCAUGGUGUAAGGCGCUCUGAAGAGAAAUCCCAAGACUACACCAGAGGGAAGAGCGUCUCCUACCCCUGUAU